UGGCUCAGGACGAACGCUGGCGGCGUGCUUAAUACAUGCAAGUCGAACGGAGCUUAGCUGAUAGUUUACUAGAGGCGAAAGCUUAGUGGCGGACGGGUGAGUAACGCGUGGGUAAUCUGCCCCUAAGUCCGGGAUAACAGAGCGAAAGUUCUGCUAAGACCGGAUAUACUUCUCUAAUUGCAUAAUCGGAGAAGGAAAGGUAACGCUUAGGGAUGAGCCCGCGUCCCAUUAGCUAGUUGGUGAGGUAACGGCCCACCAAGGCGACGAUGGGUAGCCGGCCUGAGAGGGUGGACGGCCACACUGGGACUGAGACACGGCCCAGACUCCUACGGGAGGCAGCAGUAGGGAAUUUUCCGCAAUGGGCGCAAGCCUGACGGAGCAACGCCGCGUGAGGGACGAAGGUCUUCGGAUCGUAAACCUUUGUCAAUGAGGACGAUAAUGACGGUACUCGAUGAGGAAGCCCCGGCUAACUACGUGCCAGCAGCCGCGGUAACACGUAGGGGGCGAGCGUUGUCCGGAAUUACUGGGCGUAAAGGGCGCGUAGGCGGCCUAAUAAGUCAAAUGUGAAACCCCUGGGCUUAACCCUGGGCUUGCAUUAGAAACUGUUGGGCUUGAGGGCAGGAGAGGAAAGCGGAAUUCCCAGUGUAGCGGUGAAAUGCGUAGAUAUUGGGAGGAACACCAGUGGCGAAGGCGGCUUUCU
rnacentral:rRNA from 1 species